rnacentral:misc_RNA from 1 species
GCAAACUUGGUCAUUUAGAGGAAGUAAAAGUCGUAACAAGGUUUCCGUAGGUGAACCUGCGGAAGGAUCAUUACUGAAUAAUGCGUGGUUGGGGUGCACGCCUCGGCCGCUCUGUCAUUCAAUUCCACCUGUGCAUAUUACCUUGUAGGCCAGAUUGCCAUUUCAAAAUGCUGGCGUUCUCCUCCGGACGCUUAGUUUUUUGGUUGGGACUUGCCGUUUCAGCUAACAGUACGUAUGCAUUGUGACGGCUCCUCUCAUAUGUGGCCAAUCUGGUCUAUGCCACCUUUACCAAACCCUUUCAUGUUUUGCAUGUAUGAUCAGCUUUUUUAAAGCAAUUAAUUGUAUGCACAACUUUCAACAACGGAUCUCUUGGCUCUCGCAUCGAUGAAGAACGCAGC